GUUGGAGUAACCCCUUAAGAACUAUGAUGGGGUGAGGGAUCAGUGUAUUAAUUUCUUAAUUAUUUAUAUUGCUUAAGAAUCCUUUUUGUUAGAUUUUCUGAUUUAAAGAGCCUACUUCUGUUGUUACUCCAAGCACCAUGACCACUUCAUUUAUUUGAAGGGGUCAUGAUGCGCUGUCUGAGUUUAACCACUGUUGCUGUGUAAGGUGCAACUGUACCUCCGGCCAUGUCUUCCCCUCAGUCCGCCCUUCCUGACAUAGUGAUAUAAGCCAUGGCGGAUUGGAUUGCAGAAGAACUUUGCCUCGUUUCUGGAUCAGUAAAUUAAUAAAUUAUGUUUUAUUUUAUUUAUUCCCAUUUUGGGAUGUAUAGGAUGGGAACCGCAAGGUUUACUAACCAAAAAAUACAAAUUGAUACAUUCUAAAUUUCCUAAAUGGAAUCCUGGCAUCCAUUAGCCAAAUAAAAGUGAUUAGCUG